AGCCACGCGCUGGGAGCCGAGUCUGCGAACUAGGCCUGGCGCGCUCCUGGAUCCCCUUGGGCUUUGCCUGCUGCCUCCAGCGGAGACUGGAGAAUGUGUGUAAAAUACAACGUGGAAGAGAGAUGAAGAAAAGGCAUUCUGGUGCAGCGAGCAGUCAACUUGAUGGUGGCUCCCUGGACCCUGCAGACUCUGACAUAGCAUCCAUGAUGCUGGUACCUGGCAAGAGACAGCAUCAUCCCACAGAGAGAUGAAUGUGGUCAGCUCCAAAUAUUACAAGACAGCAACUGGCCAGACUCGGUAGAAUACAAUGGAGCAUAGAGAAAUAAUCCUGCCUGGUGUUUAGUCUUGAGGCCACUUGCCUCACCACCUGAGACGGGCACUGUCAGUGCUCAGCCCAGAUCCUCUGGGAUCCCUAUGACCUAUGUGUCCCACCUCGGGCUUCUAUGUGUCACACCUGUGACUCCACUUCACAGGCUGCUUUCAGGCUAUGGGAGUGGCAUCACCUGAACUAGCAGAGAGUGCCUGAGAGUUUACCUUUUCUGCCUCCACCUGCUACCACAGUCCCUUACCCUGUGUGACCCAGCAGUGCAAGAGUGUGAAAGCCCACCUCCCUGGCUUUAGAUGGGGUUAAGUCUAAAGCAUAAAGUAUGCUUCAGAGCGCCCCUGUGGAAUCCAGUUCGAGCCACCCGCAGUGGGAUAUUGCUUGAAAUCACAUCCUUACCUGGCUUCUUACCAAUUAUUUUUAAUGCACUUCCAUAAUAAUGUCACUAUGUACAUACCUGUGACCCUACCCAUUCCAACUCUGUAACCUCCAGUCCUAGACCUUAGCUGCCUAGGUAGUAUUCAUUCAUUCAUUCAUUAUCGAAUACUAGCUCAAAAUCUACUCUAGGUAAAGCACUAUUUCUCAUUUAUGGAGUAUAGCAAAUAUUCUGCCCUUUCUCCACCUCCUGUACCCUAAUUUUCUCUUCUUAAAAGCAUGCCAGUCACAUUGGAUUAGAACUUACCCUAAUGACAAUUACCUCUUUAAAGACCUGUCUCCAGGAGUUCCCAUCGUGGAUCAAUGGUUAACAAACCCAAUUAGUAUCCAUGAGGAUGCGAGUUCGAUCCCUGGCAUCACUCAGGGGGCUAAGGAUCUGGCAUUGCUGUGGCUUUGGGGCAGUGGCAACAGCUCCCUACCUUUGGAACCUCCAUAUGCCAGGUGGGGGCGGGGCGGGCCCUAAAAAAACAAAAGACGAAAGGAAAAAAAAAAAAAAAAACCUCUCUCCAAAUACAGUCACAUUUGAAGUAAUGGGGCUUAGGAGAGGACUUUAGUAAAUAAACUUCUGAGGGGUACACAAUUCAGCUGAAAACAUCCAUUAUCUGUAAUUCCAGUAGUGCCAAUUCCACUCUUUAUUUUACCACUUGUUCUAAAAAACAUCUACUUUGCAUCUGUUGGUUAUACCCAUUUACUUCCUUUCUGGGAAAGUUGAUAGACCCACAGGUCUUAGAGUGAACCCAUGAUGAGUUUAAAGCUGGUGGUGAAUGAAAAACACUAUCAAACAUCUCAACAAGCCCUUGAAUGCUAACUCAGUAGCAUGAGGUACCAAUGAAAGAUGUGGCAGAGUUGGGACUGUAGGAGAGCUGAUCAGUUCAUUGUACCAAGUAAUUCCCAAUUUACUCAAUCUUUGAUUUGCUUCAGUAUGUCUGUUGGCAACAUACAUCAAUUGUAUCAUCGAUUUGUUUUGUUUUUAUACACCUAGUUUCUGGAAUUGAAGAACCAAAGUACGACACUAUUUUACAGAAAACCAGAACGCCCUCAAGACUUCAGUUAGGAUGAUUGAGGACUAGAGCAAAGAGCUUCGCUUUUUCAGUGGUUUCUGCCUCAGUGGGAAGCACAAGAAGCCACUAGGCUAACUGCUUGCCUGCGGGAUGGCUGGAAGGAGAUGAAUAUUGAAACUUUUUUUUUGAGUAAUCCCACAUACAACGCAAUUUAUUUUCUCUUACAAGGAGUUUGUUGUGAUACUUUGAUUCUUUGAACAGAAAAGCUAUUUAAACUAAGCAAUUUCUCUCCAUGGUGAUUUAACAGUCCAGCUAUGGGGAGAAAAACAUCUUUCACAAAAACGAGGCAACCUAAGCUCAAAAUCCUUUCAACACUCCAGGCAAUUCCCCAUUCCCUUCACUUACAAUUAAAUUAUUUUUGUCACUAUCAACAGGAGCAAGACUUUCUUUGAUUCCGAGUUAAUAAAAUCGUUAACUCGUUUCCUUUGGCUUGACUCUACAAACCAGCAAAUACUUUAGGAAUGCUUUUACUCUGACAAACUAAGUUUUGGUUUUCCAUCUCUCAGUUCUCAAUGAUUUAUAUGUAUAAUCAUUUAGUAGGUAUAAAUAUCUUAUUUACGUAAAUCACAGUGGUGUUUCUAAAAUAACUAUAUUUAUAUUUGAAUAUAAAAAAUAAAAGUAAAUAAGGCCAAAUCUUAGCAAUCUGUUUAUACCUCCCUCCCCCAACUCCCACUUCCCCUCACCCUCAAAUUCCAGGUCCUCUAGGUCUCUGAUUGGCUUGCUGCCUCUCCAGGUUAUCGGAUUUCCUUAAAGUGAAGAUUAGAGUAAAGCAUAUCUGAGGUUGGGUUUUUUGGUUGUUGUUGGUAAACUGUGGUAAUCCUUUCAUAAUUCAGAUUUGGAGCAAUAGAACAACCCUAUGAAAGUAGAUUAGGCCUGUCGCCAACAUUCCAGGGGCUUCUUUCAUAUUUUCACACUAUUAACAGGCUACAUGUCUCCUCUGACCUUAAUUCCACACAAUCUCAGGACAAAGUUUUCUUCUCUUUCCUUUUUUUAGUUCCGAAAUUAAAAUCACUCUCCUUUUACACCAACGAAGGUGCUUCGAUGGCUGAGUCUGCCUCCAUCGUCAUUAAAAGGUUACUGCUGGAAAAACCUUAGACAUCUAGUUUGGACCAGCAAUGUUUUAGUUAGCGUUCUAAAGGAUUUUUUCCUUAGAUUGCAGAUCAUUACCGAGGUAAAAGAGUACGUGUCUCUUAGUCUCUGGGAGCGUUUUGUUUUAUUUUGUUUCAGGGUCAAAUGUGGUGGGGCACAGUGAGUUAUAAUAGAAGACUAUGAUGAAAGAAAACUACCCCCUGCUGUGAACAACUAAGCGAGAAGUUAACCAUUACAGAGUAACAAUUUUGCAAGAAAUCAUGUCACUAAUACAGUAGUUAUUGGUUAACUGCGGUCCAGUUUCUAUAUUAGUGGAAAGAGCUACUUUAGGGGACUAUGAUGUUCUGAUAUUAUUUGAAGUUUGGGAGUUCUAAUUUAAAAAAAUUUUUAAGACCACGACUAGCAUAGGAGACAGUAUUAUUAAGGCUAGAUACCCUAACGUUUUCUACUCACAUACAUCGAUUUCUGAUUUAAUUGUAAACUAACCACAGAAGUUUCAGUGAUUGCGCAAUAUAACAUUUUUCAACCCCUUGAUUUUAUGACCUAUUUGGUCAUUUCCCAGUGACAUUUUCGGAUAGUGCAGUAAAACCAUACUGAGUGCAAAUUUGAAAAACACUUCUUAAAACAUUUAUGUGAACAAAUGAAAAGGCUCAAAUACCAUUUAAAUUAAAACGCAGUCAAACUUUACCUAAUAACCCAGCACAUGCUGAACCCUGGCUAACUGACAUUGCCCACAAUUAACUCAAUUUUAAUCUGAAAGAGAAAAGAUGACAAGUUAACAUCAGGGAUUUACUCAAGCCGGAAGGAAGAAGAGAGGAAAAAAGAAACAAAUCACAACAUUACAUUUAUUUUAAGAUGCACGUUUUUUUCCCAUCUUUAAACCUCUGAAAUCAGGAUUCCCUUACUUGUCCUUGACCAGGUGGUAUACUGUAUAAGCAGAGCAGAUAAGAACUUGGCCAUACCGUUCACAGUGUUACAGCUUGAGGUAAGAUACGCUCAUGGUUAGUACCGCAUAAAAUAAGUGUAAAUAACUUUUUUUUCUUUUCUUGGCUUUUUAGGGCUACACCCGCGGCAUAUGGAGGUUCCCCAGCUAGGGGUCCAGUUGGAGCUGUAGCCACUGGCCACAGCCACAGCCACAGCCACAGCCACAGCCACAGUGAUGCCAGAUCAGAGCCACGUCUGCAACCUACACCACAGCUCAUGGCAAUGCCAGAUCCUUAACCCACUGAGCAAGGCCGGGGAUCGAACUUGCAUCCUCACGGAUACUAGUCAGAUGCACCAUGAUUUUACAGAUCCCUAACAAAGGGAGGUAAUUGUAAAUGUAAUUUACAAUAGUAGAGCCUACUUCUCUUAUGAUCUACUGUCUUCACAAGCCAAACUCAAAACAUUUUUAGAAAAGCUAAAUCUCUAUAAAAAGAAAAAAAAAAGCUGCCUUAUAUUUUAUACCUUCUCAGUAUACCUGUAAUUAGUGCAUAAAGAUGGGGACUGUGCCAAUUAUCAGAUGUCACCAUAUACUCUGGGUUUUCUCCAAAGUAGAAGAUGUUCAUUCUAACACUUUAAUCCUGAGAGUCUUUUAAAAAAAAUCCAUGUGGUGCAGCAGUCUUUCAUUCACAGAUGUGAUCUUACACUGAUUUCAAAAAUGAUGACUGCAAAAAUAAAUGCAGUGGCAAGUGGGUAUGAGCUUAGAUUAUAAAGAGCGGAGGUGUGGCUGGGUUCUCGAUGUGUACACUAGUUGUGAUGGUUAAAUUUAUGUGUCAUCUUGACUGGGCCCCGGAGUACUCAGAUUAAACAUUAUUUCUGUCAACUGUAUUCCAAUAAAAUUUAAAAAA
rnacentral:lncRNA from 1 species